rnacentral:lncRNA from 1 species
UGUCCAAACACAUUGUAAGUCAAUGUUUUAAGAUUAUACAUACAACUUAUCAAACUUUUUAAUCUUCCACUCUUGACCAAGCUUUAUAGCCGUGAGACAUGUGGCAGAUUCCUGCGAGCUAUAACUUUUUUUUUUUUUUACAGGAAACGAGCUGAGUUAUUACUGUUGAAACUUGAGAUUGUUAACGUUCCUAUAUAGGAGUAUCUUUAAGACUAGGCUGAUUUUUCAAAACUCAAAUGCUCAAUCGUUGAAUAGAGAUUAAUACCUGAUAGAGUGAUAGGAAAAUUAAUUAACUUUGAAGAGGAUUGACAAUGAACUAAAUAUAGUAAUACGGCGUACAACGGUUGAAAGAAAAGCCGCCGGAAAAUUCAUUGGCCUCCCUUCAACAGAAAUGCUUUCAAGACAGUGAUCCUCUGGCCGGCUUAAUUCGCCAACCUGCAUAUCCUAAAUAUUAUUCCAUUUGAUAAUAUAAUAUGCAAGUCACA